UACAUGGGGUGCAAACGUUGCUCGGAAUUAUUGGGCGUAAAGCGCACGUAGGCGGCUUUGUAAGUUAGAGGUGAAAGCCCAGGGCUUAACCCUGGAAUUGCCUUUAAGACUGCAUCGCUAGAAUCGUGGAGAGGUGAGUGGAAUUCCGAGUGUAGAGGUGAAAUUCGUAGAUAUUCGGAAGAACACCAGUGGCGAAGGCGACUCACUGGACACGUAUUGACGCUGAGGUGCGAAAGCGUGGGGAGCAAACAGG
rnacentral:rRNA from 1 species